rnacentral:lncRNA from 1 species
ACAUAAUGCCUAUAGUUGGAGCCAGUUAAACUGGUAAACAUUGAAGUCUUCAGAAAACAAGUAAAGGAAUCCAAGGCAAGGAAGAAAGUAAAUUCAUCCUGGAAGGACUCAAAGCACUUUGAAAUUUUAAACGAAUGUAAUGAUAGCUGCUAAAACCACCUUUGUCACCAUAAUGGAUGAAGUACUUCAAAUUUAAACGAGAAAAUGCUCUAUGAGGUUGGUGAAAUACGUGUUUACAGUGCGUGUACUC